rnacentral:rRNA from 1 species
CUGUCGUCAGCUCGUGUCGUGAGAUGUUGGGUUAAGUCCCGCAACGAGCGCAACCCACGUCUUUAGUUGCCAGCAUUCAGUUGGGCACUCUAGAGAGACCGCCGGUGAUAAACCGGAGGAAGGUGUGGAUGACGUCAAGUCAUCAUGCCCCUUACAUCCUGGGCUACACACGUACUACAAUGCUACGGACAAAGGGCAGCAAAAUCGCGAGAGCUAGCAAAUCCCAUAAACCGUGGCUCAGUUCAGAUCGUAGGCUGCAACUCGCCUACGUGAAGGAGGAAUCGCUAGUAAUCGCAGGUCAGCAUACUGCGGUGAAUACGUUCCCGGGCCUUGUACACACCGCCCGUCACACCAUGGAAGUUGGCCACGCCCGAAGCCGUUACUCCAACCUUGUGGAGGAG